ensembl:lncRNA
CUGGUAGCUUCUGGAGCAGCUGCAGCAGCCAGGACACAUGAACUACAGUGGAGGUCUUGCUUUUAACUACUGGACCCAACACAAAGCCUCCCUUGCAGGCUUACCAGAGCAUGAAAAUGAAAUGGCCACCUCCUGUAACAAGAAAGACUUCUAGAAGAGGAAGGAGACAUCAAUACAUUCACAAAACUUUCAACUCGAAAUCUGUCUUGCCAAUAAGUGUGCAGGGAUAAAGACAGAAAAGUAGCACACCUGUCUCCAGAGGCUUCACUCAGCAGCUGAAAGCCACAGCCAAUCCUCAGAUGGAGCUCGGGAAGUCUUGUGGAAGAGUGGGGGGAGAGUGACAAGGAAACUGGUUGGGAUAAAACACUACAAGUAGUCCCCUACCGUCAGAUACCUUGGACCAUGGAGUAUGCUAGAGCCUGUGCAACCAACCCCAGAGCCAGAUCUGCAGGAAACAUCUCAACGAAGAACAAGAGAGGCUGGAGAAGAAUGGGGAAGGGUUUGAUCCCUGAAGUUCCUCAGUGUCCACUAGCACAGCACUUGUCCUUGGGAGAUGACAUCUUUCACUCUUCCUGACUGUUGCACCAAUCAGAAUUACAAGUUCUGUGGAUGAACCUGUAAAAGAGGACAGUUGCUCUUGGG